ensembl:snoRNA
CCUCCUCUUCUUGGCAGGCCCGGGUUUUGCGGUGCCCGGCUCUGUAAUGUCCGGAGGUAAAGGAAUGCCCACCCAGCGCUCUGUCUUCGGUGCCAGCAGCUUUGCCAUCUGCUGGUUCUAUCCUCAAACGCUGGGACAAAG